GCCGCCUUGGUGGAAUCGGUAGACACGCUGCUCUUAGGAAGCAGUGUUAGAGCAUCUCGGUUCGAAUUUGAGUGGCGGCA
rnacentral:tRNA from 1 species